GGGAAGGCAGUGCUGGGACUCUGGUGCCCCCAACCCUGGGCAUCCUCAGGCUUUGAGGAGAAUACACAGGAUUUGAAGUCAGAAGACCUAGGUUUGAGUUCUGGCUGAGCCACGCACUGUUCAUGUGACCUUGGACAAAUCACCAAAUUUUUCUGAACAGCAUCUGUAAAGUGACAGUAACCCCUACCUCACAGGGUUGUUGUGAGGAUUACAUAUAUGCUAAAGCAUUUUGCAUAUGAAAAAGCUUCUUAUGAAUAUUGUUAUUCCUAGGGAAACCCCCCUUGGAAGCUGUCAAAAAGGACAACUGUAGAUGAAAUUGUCUUCCUUUUUUCUUCAUUCAGCUUAGCCUUUCUGUUUGGCCAGGGCUACUUACAGGGGCUGUUGGGGUUGAAGUAAAGUCACCGCAUUUUGGCUCCUUUGGUCAAAGAGAAAGAACUCUAAUGUCCAGCUGCUCCAUCGAUAUACUCAUAGAAUGGAAGUGAGCAAAGGAAAAUUUUAAGCCAGGAUAGUUAACCGUUAGGAGGCCAGUGGGAGAAUGCUUGCCUUGCAUUUGCAAAUCCAGAAUGACUAAAACAUCUUAAGUAAAUGAGG
rnacentral:sRNA from 1 species